rnacentral:rRNA from 1 species
AGUGAACGCUGGCGGUAUGCCUAACACAUGCAAGUCGAACGGCAGCACAGUAAGAGCUUGCUCUUACGGUUGGCGAGGGGCGGACGGGUGAGGAAUACAUCGGAAUCUACUUUUUCGUGGGGGAUAACGUAGGGAAACUUACGCUAAUACCGCAUACGACCUACGGGUGAAAGCAGGGGAGCUUCGGACCUUGCGCGAUUGAAUGAGCCGAUGUCGGAUUAGCUAGUUGGCUGGGUAAAGGCCCACCAAGGCGACGAUCCGUAGCUGGUCUGAGAGGAUGAUCAGCCACACUGGAACUGAGACACGGUCCAGACUCCUACGGGAGGCAGCAGUGGGGAAUAUUGGACAAUGGGCGCAAGCCUGAUCCAGCCAUACCGCGUGGGUGAAGAAGGCCUUCGGGUUGUAAAGCCCUUUUGUUGGGAAAGAAAAGCAGCAGGUUAAUCCCCCGAUGUUCUGACGGUACCCAAAGAAUAAGCACCGGCUAACUUCGUG